rnacentral:misc_RNA from 1 species
GUGGGAGGGGGCUUGCUCCCGAUGGCGGCCUGUCAGUCAGUUUAUGUGUGACUGAUGCACCGCUAUCGGGAGCAAGCCCCCUCCCAC